GGGGCUAUAGCAUAACCUGGUAGUGUGGCCGGCUCCAACCCGGCUGGUGGGGGUUCAAAUCCCUCUAGCCUCA
rnacentral:tRNA from 1 species